AGGGGGAUAGCUCAGUGGAGGAGCACGUGCUUGGUGUGCACGAGGUCCUGGGUUCAAGCCCUAGUACCUCCA
rnacentral:tRNA from 1 species